rnacentral:rRNA from 1 species
GCAAGUCGAACGAGAAAGUUUCCCUCGGGAAAUUAGUACAGUGGCGGACGGGUGAGUAACGCGUAGAUCAUCUACCUUUAAGUUGGGGAUAACCCAGGGAAACCUGGACUAAUACCGAAUGUGACCGCGAGGUUAAAGAGGGCUUUUAGCUCUUGCUUAAAGAUGAGUUUGCGUCCAAUUAGCUUGUUGGUAGGGUAACGGCCUACCAAGGCGAUGAUUGGUAGGGGGUUUUAACGAGUGAUC